rnacentral:tRNA from 1 species
GGGUUGAUAGCUCAGUGGUAGAGCAUUCGGCUUUUAACCGACUGGUCGAGGGUUCGAAUCCCUCUCAACCCA